rnacentral:rRNA from 1 species
GAUGAACGCUGGCGGCGUGCCUAAUACAUGCAAGUCGAGCGAACAGACGAGGAGCUUGCUCCUCUGACGUUAGCGGCGGACGGGUGAGUAACACGUGGAUAACCUACCUAUAAGACUGGGAUAACUUCGGGAAACCGGAGCUAAUACCGGAUAAUAUAUUGAACCGCAUGGUUCAAUAGUGAAAGACGGUUUUGCUGUCAUUUAUAGAUGGAUCCGCGCCGCAUUAGCUAGUUGGUAAGGUAACGGCUUACCAAGGCAACGAUGCGUAGCCGACCUGAGAGGGUGAUCGGCCACACUGGAACUGAGACACGGUCCAGACUCCUACGGGAGGCAGCAGUAGGGAAUCUUCCGCAAUGGGCGAAAGCCUGACGGAGCAACGCCGCGUGAGUGAUGAAGGUCUUCGGAUCGUAAAACUCUGUUAUUAGGGAAGAACAAAUGUGUAAGUAACUAUGCACGUCUUGACGGUACCUAAUCAGAAAGCCACGGCUAACUACGUG